CUGAGCAGCUUCACUUUCACUCUAGUUACCAAGCUUCACCAUGGCAACUCUGGAAAUACUUAAAUAUCAUGCAGAGUUUUCAUAUGGAUUAACCAGUAGGCAACUUUUUUCUACUCCAUGAAGUGGAUUCAUAUGGAGGUGGGUGCUUGCCUUUUAAUCAUCCUGUGUGCAGAAGUGGGUUAUUUGGCAUUGGCAAAUCAUCUGUGCUUUUUAUUCAACCUUCUCUGAGGAUGUCCUGAACUAUGGCUUCCACUGCCUACUUUAUCCAGCAAACAGGCACACUCUUCUUAUUCCAGGUAUUUGUUACAAUUGCCCCACCACCAUUGUUC